CGUUUUCGGCAAGCAAACACGGGGACGACUGGCGGCCGGUGUUAUCCUUUUAGUCCUCUCCUCUCACCUCAACAACAGCUCAUAAGAGAGAGGUUGGAGAGAUAGAAAAAACUGUAAACGCGUGCUUCUUUUUGCUUUUCUUACUUUUCAUUUUAGUGACGUGUCAAUUGGGCUCUCAGAACACUCUUCAUA
ensembl:ncRNA C16E9.18 ncRNA